GACGAACGCUGGCGGCGUGCUUAACACAUGCAAGUCGAACGGAAAGGCCCCUUUGGGGGUACUCGAGUGGCGAACGGGUGAGUAACACGUGAGUAACCUGCCCUUGACUUCGGGAUAACUUCAGGAAACUGGGGCUAAUACCGGAUAGGAAUCCUUGCUGCAUGGUGGGGGUUGGAAAGCUUCGGCGGUUUUGGAUGGACUCGCGGCUUAUCAGCUUGUUGGUGGGGUAGUGGCUUACCAAGGCUUUGACGGGUAGCCGGCCUGAGCGGGCGACCGGCCACAUUGGGACUGAGAUACGGCCCAGACUCCUACGGGAGGCAGCAGUGGGGAAUAUUGCACAAUGGGCGUAAGCCUGAUGCAGCAACGCCGCGUGCGGGAUGACGGCCUUCGGGUUGUAAACCGCUUUCAGCAGGGGCGAAGCUUGUGGUGACGGUACCUGCAGAAGAAGCACCGGCUAACUACGUG
rnacentral:rRNA from 1 species